rnacentral:tRNA from 1 species
GGCGCAUUCGGCAAGAGGUUAAGCCACCGGGCUUUCAAUCCGGGAUCGGUGGGUUCGAUCCCCCCAUGUGUCA